rnacentral:rRNA from 1 species
AUGACCGCGGCAUUCAUAAGAAGAUCACGUCUUCGGUGGGUGAACCAACUCAUGCUCCCAGAUAUGAAGGAAUGGAAUGUUCCACUUAUCAAACAAAUUUUCUACCCUUUCGAUGCUGAUGAUAUAUGUAGAAUCCCAAUCCCUAGAUCGGAUGUGAGGGACUGCAUUGCCUGGCACCCUGAGAAGAAUGGGAUAUUCACAGUUCCCCCGAAGGUGAGAAUCUUCGGUUGGAGGGUUGCAACCAACACUUUGGCCACGAAAAGGAACAAGUUCAGGCGUACGAUCACGUUCGAUGUGACGUGCGAUAUAUGCGGCUGUGGGGAUGAGGAUGAACACCACGCAGUGGUGGGAUGCACCAAGAGUAGGGCACUCAGGCACAAAAUGAGGGAGGAGUGGGAUAUCCCAUCGGAAAAGCAUUUCCAGAAUACUGGCGAAGAUUGGCUACAGAUCCUACUGAGCUCCGUUCCAAAAGAUGUUCGCGUAAAAAUCUUGUUGCUGCUAUGGAGAUGCUGGCACCUCCGUGAAAAUUGCAUACAUGGGGAUGGAAAGGAGCCGGUUUUAGUAUCCGCCGCCUAUCUGUCGAAGAUGCAUGACGAAUGGAAGAACGUGGGUGUAGCCGAACAGGUGGAGGGGAAGGCGAUCUUGAUGGGUUUGCAAGCAUUGGCACCUCGCUAUAAUGGGAACAUUCUGAUAGAGACUGACUGCAAAUCUCUAGCGGAUGAUCUCCAAGGAAACGGGCAAGUCAGGUCAGCAAGUUAUGGAUUGAUUAUGGACAUCAGAUCGCUGCUUGGAGGUUUUCAGAGCAAGCAGAUCACUCAUGUUGAUCGUCAGCGGAACUCCCUUGCACAUGAGCUGGCAGCAGAAGCUAGAAGAUCUGGGGACUUUUUUCUGAUUGCUGAUGUCCCUAAUGGGUUGCGUAACUUGAUGUUCUCUGAAUGUAACCCCCUACUGGAGUAA